AAGUGGACAUCAGAGAGCACAGAGUUAGGGCGCCUGGGCAAGUCCCCAGAGGAGACGAAAGUGGUGAAAUCGGUGCAAAGCAGAUGGGGAAACUUCUGGAACAAGAGCUAACAUAUUUGAGAGAGCUGCAGCAGGCAAGGAGGCCUGGAAGGAGCUGGGGGAAGGUGGAAGUAGACAAACUGGAGCGGCCAGUUAGGGAGGAUUCUUUGAGGACGGAAGGUGUAAAGGAGGCUGAAGCAACCAGGGAGGCCUCCCCUGAAGAGACAGAGGGCUGCCUAGAGGCUCCCGGAGGCGGCGCGGCUCCAGGGCGCUGCCUCACCUGGGGCCCGGCCGCCGCGCUCUGGGCCGCUGCCUCAGCCCGCGCAGCCCGGCUACAGCUCGCCAGUACCACGAACCCGGAUGGCUCGCCCGGCGCGGCCUCCACCAGGGCCGCCUUCACAGACGUGGUGCCCAGGUCGAUGCCGAGAAUGACCGACCGCGCACCCAUGGCCGUGGUGCGGGACGCAGCUCGUGUCUGCUGCACCGAGAGCCCCCACCCAAACACUUAACCCCGGAGAGAGGCGACACCUGCGGACCUCUCCUGCCAGUCCCUCAGACACACUCAACAUGGCGUCUCCUCGUCUUCCCAUUGGCCGAGGAAGGAGGACCACAGGAGCAUCACUCGGGGCGAGUCCCGGCUAUAGGCGGACAGGACAUGGAAGGCGGGAUCAAGACGGCCCCGCCCCGUCUCGCCCUAGUAGCGUGGGGUUCGCUGAGAGCCGCUGGAGGUUCUGGGAGCGCCUGUGUUCCUAGAAGUGGCUCCAUCCUCUCUCAUACCCGAGCUUCCAUCUCUGCCAAGGUGCCUGCUCCGCCCCAACUCCGCCCUGCUUUGUCGGACUGAGAUUCGCAAACACUACAGCUCCCAGAAUGCAUCACGCGCGCUCGCUACUCCGCGUGUCAGGUGACCUCUGCCCCGCCCUCACACAAAGUCAAGCCGGCCGGGGGAACCGUGCACGUCCUGGAGUUGCACCUCGCCUGAGAUUCCCGCUCCUUGUGAGGUCGGUCCCCUGAGCCGGAAAGGCUCUCAGUUCUUUGAAAUUGAAGAACAUGCUAAGGAAUUGGCUGAUUGUUUUUAUACUUUUUUCCCUGAAGCUCAUGGAAAAAUGUGAGUCAACCAUCAACCUCACUGUUCCUCCCGUUGUGAAGCUGGAAAAUGGCAGCUCAGCCAAUGUCAGCAUCACCCUUCGGCAUCCGUUAAAUGCAACCUUGGUGAUCACUUUUGAAAUCACAUUUCGUUCAAAAAACAUUACUAUCCUUGAACUCCCUGAUGAAGUUGUGGUGCCUCCUGGAGUGACAGAUUCCUCUUUUCAAGUGACGUCUCAAAAUGUUGGACAAGUUACCAUAUAUCUGCAUGGAAACCAUUCCCAGCAGCCCGGCCCAAGAAUACGCUUCUUGGUGAUCCACAGCAACAUCGUGGGCAUCAUAAACCAGGUGAUCGGCUGGAUCUACUUUGUGGCUUGGUCCGUCUCCUUCUAUCCUCAAGUGAUCAAGAACUGGAGGCGGAAAAGUGUCGUUGGCCUGAGCUUCGACUUCGUGGCCCUGAACCUGACAGGCUUUGUGGCCUAUAGCGUGUUCAACGUUGGCCUCCUCUGGGUGCCCUCCAUCAAGGAGCAGUUUCUCCUCCAACACCCCAAUGGGGUGAUCCCCGUGGACAGCAACGAUGUCUUCUUCAGCCUGCACGCGGUCAUCCUCACGCUGGUUGUCAUUGUGCAGUGCUUCCUGUAUGAGCGAGGCGCCCAGCGCGUGUCCUGGCCUGCCAUCGGGUUCCUGGUGCUGCUGUGGCUCUUUGCUCUCGUAACCAUGAUUGUGGCUGCAGUUGGAGUGACCACUUGGCUGCAGUUCCUCUUCUCUUUCUCCUACAUCAAGCUCGCGGUCACACUGGUCAAGUAUUUUCCACAGGCCUACAUGAACUUUUACUACAAAAGCACCGAGGGCUGGAGCAUUGGCAACGUGCUCCUGGACCUCAUUGGGGGCAGCUUCAGCCUCCUCCAGAUGUUCCUCCUGUCCUACAACAAUGACCAAUGGACAGUGAUCUUUGGGGACCCAACCAAGUUCGGACUCGGCAUCUUCUCCAUCUUCUUUGAUAUCAUCUUCUUCAUCCAACACUUCUGUUUGUACAGAAAGAAACCAGGGCUUCAGGCAACACGCACAGGUUCUGACAGCCAUCCCAGGCAGGAUUGGGUGCUGAACUUGGACCCGAAGGCCUUGCCCCAUGCCUCCAAUGUUUCUGGGAGCGGCCUGAAGGGCUGACCUUGCAGCCGGGGGAGCCAAGGGCGCUUUGCUGCCACUGCUGUCUUCCCAGAGACCAAGCAGCCAGGUGCUGGGGCUGGUGGUGGAGGGCUGAAACUUGGGGGUCAGGCCUUGGGCCCUUUCUCUGAAGGCCACGUUGUCUGAGCACUCACGUUCCUGACACUUGUUCUGCAUAACUCAGCUUCCAUGACUGCAGGUGCAGGUGGCCCCACUCAGGGCCUGAUAAGGAGACAGGAUUUCGCAGCCCCGAGGUGCCCACCAGAUGGCUUCUGAACUGGACCCAAGCCCAGAGCCCUCUGGAUCUUUGUCACACAGAUUAUCAGACUAACCACCCCCUUUGGAUUUUUCAGAGGGAUGUUUUAGAAGGGAGUGGCUUAUUCUCUCCUGCCCUCUCUGCCUACCUCCACUUUCCCAGUCAGGACCCUGGGGUUCCAUCCGAGCCCUCCUCCUGCUCCUUACCUCCUUGCCUUGUGUCUGGAAUGCAGGACACACAUACACACACACACACUACCAGGCAGUGCCUUAGAGGCCUGUUAAACUUGCCAAAAGGUGACAGAAGCUCCCCAGAAGGGGCCUUCUCUCGCUUUCCCCAGCCCCCUACUUGAGACCCACCAAUGUUUUGGCUGUCAGGGGCCUCAGAAAAGGACUUGAGACCACCUCACACAGUCCCCACCCUGUUCUCAAACCUCCUCCCCUCCCACCCAGAGCUGCUGUUCUUCUGAUUGCAGGAGGGGAGGGUCCAGGACGUGCCUUGUACAUACCUUGAGACUGUCAAUCCCUUCAGACUUUUUUUUUUUUACCACAAAGUCAAUGUGAGGGGACUAUAUCCCUAAUUAAAACCUGACUUGCUUCCUUUCUCCACACUGAGGAUGUGCUAUAUCAGGAGGCGGGUGUGUUGACCUUCAGAAUCAAUUCCUCGGGGCUUAGCAAGGCGGCCUUACUGACUUACUGUAAGGAAGCACAUAGGGCUGUGAAGUGCGCUGAUCCCAUGGUGGCCGCGAGCUGACCCCGCACUUCGUCAGGGGAGUCCUCAGCUGGUGCAAGCUGCCUGCCUCUCGGGGCCAGGCCAGGUAGGUCUCCCGAGGACCCUGUACUUGCCAUUGCCAAGGGCAAGCAGCUGAAGCUAUGAACAUGCCACCCUCUAGGGAAAGAGGGACCUUAUUUUUCAAAUCCUCUUCCUAUCCAGUUGUAACAAACAUCAAAGAACUUAGGAUCUUAUCUCCCUAAAGCAGAGAUUGCAGUCUGAUCCUACAGACCUGUCCGAUUUGGGCCACCCAGUGAUUUUUUUUUAAAUGGGAUAUUUUACCUGAAAUUCCAAAAUCUUCCCUUUCCUUGAAAAAUCUAACUUGACUUUGCCAAGUGAGUCUGUGUUCCCACCUGGCAAUGACUUCCUGGAGCCGGGAAUGCUGCCAGCACUAGGAGAGGCAGCGGGACAUCUGGGCUCCAGUGUACCCCAUCUGCCCCUGGAAACAUUUGGGGCUACAGCCCUGGCUGUGAUAAACCAAGCACUCCUAAGUCUUAGGAGCAGGUGUUUUUUUCCCUGUGACCCCUGUUGGUGUCCAUGAGGCCCCUCCCAGGGCUACACAAGGGAAGUUGGGGGCACUUAGGGACUCCACAGUGACACCCAAGAGCCUCCCCCAGUUCUGCUGCAGGUAUUCUCAGGCCCUCCCACAGAUGCAGUCCUUGCCAAUUAUAGGGUGUUUUCACAGGUGUUCCUGGGCUCCACCAGCCCAACUUUCCUGGCAGGUCAGCCAUCCUUAAAACCAAAAGUUCUCACCCCAAACCACCCCAAUGCCCCAUCCCAUGCUUCAGCACAUACCCCUUCUGGACUCCAGCAUGGUUUAUUGGGCACAAGAUGUCAAGUGUGGGGCGGCAUUAUACUGCCUCACAGCCACGGGAACAAAAGUAAGGCUUGUUAACUUGCCAAGAGUAGUUGUUACCCCCGGAUGCGAGUUAGUGAGCUAAAUUCAAAAGCAGAAUUGGCAUCUCCAAAUAGUAAGAUAAAAAUGCUUUGUAUCAAAGUUGUGAUUAAAAAAAUACAAAAGUUAAACCCACAGGCAUAGAGAAAAACAGCAAUCCUGAGAGCUGCCCUGAAAUGUCAGCCUUGAACCUCAUCUAAAUCCUGUAAGCAGGUGGAUCCUGGGGAGGCCAUUGCCCUUUGGGGGGGAAGUGGGGGUGUGAUGGGUUGACACAAACCUGCCCAGAUUCUGUCCAGGUAAACCUUCUGUCCAGGUAAGCCUUUGUAGCACCUCUGGUAGUGAGUGUAGCCAGUCUCCCAUUUGGGCAAUGCAGGGACAAGCAUGGGGCACAGGUGCUGCAGAGUUUAGAUAAGAGGACAGGACCAAGCCCUGCCACCUGUGCAUGCAGGGAAAGGCCCAGCCCCACCUGUCAUUUUCCAGCUUUGUGGCAGCUCUCAGGAAUUGGUGUUUCCGCACUUGCCCAAGCACUGCUGGGCAGCGGGGGCUGGGGGCUGGGCCGGGGGUCACUGCAGGCUGUUGUUUCCAAUCCCCAGUGUCCAAGGGAGGGAGCUGCUCCCAGAGCCACAGGCAGUGGUGGGAGAGGGGAAGGAGAGGGUGGGUCAGGCCUCAAGGACAUGCCUCUGGGACCAGUUCCUGCCCUUCUGAGGUGGGGCCCGGCCCUCGGCAAACACCAGGAGGAGGGGCAGAGAGUAGAAGUAGUGUCACUGUACAAACAGGCAGCAGGCACUCGCUGGGGACCGUGGCAGGCUGCUAGGACAACAUCGACUGCUGCACAGCCUUCUGCAGUGACUGCCGCGUCACCAGCAGACGUACCACCUCCUCCGAGCGCUUGGUGAGCCGCUUCCUGGCCUGGUCGUGCGUGACCAUGGUCAUGUCCCAGCCAUUCACCUGGCCCAGGGAAAGAACACAGCACGCCUCAGCCCCUCACCCACCCUUUGGGAUCUGGAAGGAGGAUAGGCUUUGGGGGUCUGGGUCACCCAAACAGGCCCCCAAGCUGGUAUCCACAGGGCUGGGAGAUGCCAAGCACUGGGGCCAAGGCAUGCAGAAGAGGGAGAGCCAACUUCCUCUGAGGACAACACCAGCAUGGACUCCAAAAGAACUUUGCCCAGCAAUUUCAGCAGGGCCUCCCUCAGACACCCGUGUGACAUAAAUGCCCUGGAAAGAGACAGCGGGUCAGGCAGUGUGGCCACUGGAUUGGCCCCUUCAGCCAUGGAGCAGAGCCCAGCAUGGUCAACUCCCAGCCAUCUGUCCCUGCACCCAGCCUCCCCCCAGUGCACAUGACCAGCAAAGGCUGUGCCCAGACAGAUCAUUUCUCAGACCAUCUUAACAAGGACAGAGAGAGGAGGCCUGCAGCAUCCGCCCAGACCCAGAAAGCAGAGACUCACCAUGGCAGGUCUCUGUGCCCCACAGAGAGGUCCCCCCUCACCUUGUCUGUCUUAUCUUCCGAGAAGGGAUUCUGGGAGGGAUCCUGGUCAAUUCCACCUCCAAUGCUGAAGCCCAGGAUUAAGUUCUCACCCUGACGCAGCUUAUGAAUUUCAACUCUUUGCUGGCAAAGAAAAAAUGAGCGUGAGAAACAA